UUUCCGGUUUGACUACCACAUUUUUUCCUAAUAAUAGAUUUUAGUGGUUAUGCUUAUGGGGUAGAUUAAAAGUGCCAUGAUCUCAGAAGGACUUAUUUGUAUCCCCUCCUAUAUGAAAUGGCUGAGUGAAAAAUA
rnacentral:snoRNA from 1 species